AAGGCUAUGCUUUCAGGGAAUCAUUUCUCUAGUGGGUGACUGGGGAAGGGUGGUUGUAAAAGCCUGGUCUCGUGAACCAUGAUGACAAACUGUAGUGUUUCUUUCUAAGCAUAAAGCUGGUAGAGACCACUGUUCUGGGGCAACUGCUUUCUGUUGUGGAAGAGUGUCCUGUUUUUCCUGAGAGGAGCAGGGGGAAGAAACACAGUAUGAGUGGU
rnacentral:snoRNA from 1 species